CAGCCGCCGCGGUAAUACGUAGGUCCCGAGCGUUGUCCGGAUUUAUUGGGCGUAAAGCGAGCGCAGGCGGUUAGAUAAGUCUGAAGUUAAAGGCUGUGGCUUAACCAUAGUAUGCUUUGGAAACUGUUUAACUUGAGUGCAGAAGGGGAGAGUGGAAUUCCAUGUGUAGCGGUGAAAUGCGUAGAUAUAUGGAGGAACACCGGUGGCGAAAGCGGCUCUCUGGUCUGUAACUGACGCUGAGGCUCGAAAGCGUGGGGAGCAAACAGGAUUAGAUACCCCCGUAGUCCCUGUCUCUUAUACA
rnacentral:rRNA from 1 species